AGUGAACGCUGGCGGUAGGCCUAACACAUGCCAGUCGAACGGCAGCACAGUAAGAGCUUGCUCUUACGGGUGGCGAGUGGCGGACGGGUGACGAAUACAUCGGAAUCUACUUUUUCGUGGGGGAUAACGAAGGGAAACUUACGCUAAUACCGCAUACGACCUACGGGUGAAAGCAGUGGAUCUUCGGACCUUGCGCGAUUGAAUGAGCCGAUGUCGGAUUAGCUAGUUGGCGGGGUAAAGGCCUACCAAGGCGACGAUCCGUAGCUGGACUGAGAGGAGGAUCAGCGACACGGGAACUGAGACACGGUCCAGACGACUGCGGGAGGCAGCAGUGGGGAAUAUUAGACAAUGGGCGCAAGCCUGAUCCAGCCAUACCGCGUGGGUGAAGAAGGCCUUCGGGUUGUAAAGCCCUUUUGUUGGGAAAGAAAAGCAGCAGGUUAAUACCCCGCUGUUCUGACGGUACCCAAAGAAUAAGCACCGGCUAACUUCGUG
rnacentral:rRNA from 1 species